AUUGAACGCUCGCGGCAGGCCUAACACAUGCAAGUCGAACGAGUGGCGGACGGGUGAGUAAUGUCUGGGGAACUGCCCGAUGGAGGGGGAUAACUACUGGAAACGGUAGCUAAUACCGCAUACCAUCAGAUGUGCCCAGAUGGGAUUAGCUUGUUGGUGGGGUAACGGCUCACCUAGGCGACGAUCCCUAGCUGGUCUGAGAGGAUGACCAGCCACACUGGAACUGAGACACGGUCCAGACUCCUACGGUAGGCAGCAGUGGGGAAUAUUGAACAAUGGGCGCAAGCCUGAUGCAGCCAUGCCGCGUGUAUGAAGAAGGCCUUAGGGUUGUAAAGUACUUUCAGCGGGGAGGCGUUACCCGCAGAAGAAGCACCGGCUAACUCCGUGCCAGCCGCCGCGGUAAUUC
rnacentral:rRNA from 1 species